GGCGGCGGCGGCGGCGGGGACGACGGCACGCGGCGAGGGACACGCGCUUUCGGAACGCGAACGCUCUCCGCGCCGGAAUAGCGUUCUCGCGGCCAGGCCGCCGCAGCGCAGGCCCAGGGAGCCUCACCUACCCUCCUCUGGGCACCGCGACCCGGGAGACGCUUGGGCCCGGAAUUUGAAUGGCGGAUUCCCUGGUUUAACCCCAUUUAUAUUAUAGACAGGGACAGAAAUUCCCUGUUCAAAGUCACAUAGCUAGAGCUUGGCAGUGACUCAGAGCAGGGAUCUUCUCACCAGACUCUAAACUCUGGGAGAGCAGCAAUCUGCUUGCAUGGUUUUCAGUUGCGUCCCCACGUUAUUGGACAGAGCCCUCAGAAAAUGCUUGAUCGAAUAGGGCGACUGGCUCCCAGGAUCCGGCCCUUUCCACUCUCGAAAGCCCGUCACCCUAGUUGCUUUUGCCUGUGAUGCUUGUAAAAUACGAUUAUAAGAUUCGUCUUUAUGCUGUGUGAACAGACUCCUUUCUUUAUAACCAAGCUAAGUGACUUUUUUUUUUCUGUCUAUGUAGUUUAUUUUAUGGCGGGGUUUUCGGGUACUCUACUUAGGCUUACCCGGCGUAAUGCUAGACAUGGAGGUGGCACUGGAUAAUAAACUCUAAAUGAUUUUUCUAACAUUGCCUUAAUUUUCUCUUGACCCUCUCCAUCUGGAGGAAUUUGUUGCUACAUGCUUAAUGUUUGGUACACGAUGAGAAAUAUAUAUAUAUAUGCACACACACAUACGCGGGCGAAUAUGCGUCACAUCCCUAAUGCUUGGCACACAGUGGGAAAUAUAAAACAUAAAUUAAUGAGGAGGCACUAUCUGUGCAUAAUGUACCUUUUUUUAUCUUAAAUAUUACAUAAUGAACAUUUAAAGGGAAUGAAAUGUGCGUAAUACCAAUCUCCCUUUCGCCUAGGAGAAGUCACGCGGUCUCUUGCAGUAGUUAAGAGUUGCUGGCAAAUUUCCUGGGUUUGAAUCUCGGCUCCACAUAAUAGCUCUGUGAUCCCGAGAUGCCUUCCUCCUUUUCCUGCCAGGCCCACUCUGGUGGAGUGGAAAAGUCCAAUGCUUUGAUACCAGUGCUCUGGCUCCAGUCUGGGGACAUCAUGUGGCCAGCAGAUAAAACCAACACUCACAGAGGCCUCACUGCAAUACAUACUGUCUGAGAGGACAAUAUUUAACCAAAGAACCUCAAGAGGCUGAAACCCUGCACUCCAAACUCUGAAUCUUGACUCAAAAGGCAAACAUCAAAGUAACUCUGGCUAGGAGACCCUCCCCUUUGUUGGCUUUGAGGAAGCAAGCAGCUGUGUUGCAAAGGCCUGUGGAGUAAGGAACUGAGGGUGGUCUCCAGCCAACAACCAGAAAGAAACUGAGGCCCUCAGUCCGGCAACUCACAAGGAACUGAAGGCUGCCAACAACCAUGUAAUUUCCAGGAUGUAAGCCAUACAGCCAGAAGGCAGGGUGCAGAGGAGAGGAGGCAGAGAUGGCACACUCAUACAGAAGCUUCUCCUGAUUGUCCACUGAAUAGAAGGCAAGCUUGCCCUCCUCAAGGUUCAGCCAGAUGCCCACCACCCCAGGUCUCGGAGAAUAUCUCUGAUUUUCCCUGCAGCUGUGUCGGAAAUCAACAGCUUUGGAGAAGCCAUGGAAAGAUCCACCCCAGAAGAAAAAACUUAUUGAUGAAUCAUUUAAAACUGAAUAAAUGGAAGUCCCCUAUGCAGUCUAUCAAC